UACGGGGGGGGCAAGCGUUGUUCGGAAUUACUGGGCGUAAAGCGCGUGUAGGCGGCCAUCUAAGUCGGGCGUGAAAUCCCACGGCUCAACCGUGGAAGUGCACUCGAAACUGGAUGGCUAGAGUCCUGGAGAGGAAGGUGGAAUGCUUGGUGUAGAGGUGAAAUUCGUAGAUAUCAAGCGGAACACCGGUGGCGAAGGCGGCCUUCUGGACAGUGACUGACGCUGAGACGCGAAAGCGUGGGGAGCAAACAGG
rnacentral:rRNA from 1 species